rnacentral:rRNA from 1 species
GACAGAGGUGCCGAGCGUUAGGCGGAAUCACUGGGCUUAAAGCGUGUGUAGGCGGGCGGGCAAGUACCUUGUGAAAUCCCACGGCUCAACCUUGGAACGGCUGGGUAUACUGCCUGUCUUGAGCCAACUAGGGGCGAGCGGAACAGACGGUGGAGCGGUGAAAUGCGUAGAUAUCGUCUGGAACGCCAAAGGUGAAAACAGCUCGCUGGGGUUGUGCUGACGCUGAGACACGAAAGCCAGGGGAGCGAACGGG